rnacentral:lncRNA from 1 species
GUAGGGGAUUUCACUUUGAAACUACAACAUGUCCCUUCCAGAAAUAUUCAGGGACCAUUGAUCAGUAAGUAUCCUUUACUCCAUCUUUCUGUGCUUGUUAACCAUGGAAGAUUUUGGGGGUGCUCCCAAAACCUUGCUAAUACCACCAACCUGUCAUCUGAGGCCAGGUUGGAAGGUGUGGAGUUGAACAGCAUGUCCAAAGCUGAGCACCUCUAGGACUCAUAGCUGCCCUGGUCUGGCACCAGCUCUAAUUCUCCUGGGAAGUAAAGGCUGGCUCAGCUGUGUGUGGUACCUGGCACCUCCAUCCUUUUAUAGCAGAAAAUUGUAGAGUGACCCACUUGAAUUAUUCCAGGAACAUUUUGCUACAUCUGCUUUAUCGUUACGAUGGAAACAUCAUCGCUGUGAUGCUGAUGCAUUUCAAAGCAAGCUACAGAGGAUGAUACACUUUUUUGUUGUACCUUAAAUACAAAGGGAAGCAAGCCAGGUACAGGAAGAUACAUUUGGAAAGCCAGCAUUUGGGGAGGCUCCUGCAAGGGGAUCAGGAUUUCAAGGCCAGUCUGAGCUACAGCGUAAGAUUCUGCACUAAAACCUCAGAGGCUGAGGAUGAUGAUAAGCUGUAGACGCUUUUCCCUGGGAUGCCCCCAAGGGGCAGAGUCUUCUUAUACGCUGACAGAAAUCCAGAAUGUCCAUCCCCAGUUCACAGGAGUCAAAAGUUACACCUUCAGAUUGGGACACUCGAGAAACGGGCUGAACCACCAGGCGAUGGAUUAUAUGU